rnacentral:lncRNA from 1 species
AUGUUUAGCAGUUUCCCUGGUCUCCACCUACCAGAUGCCAGUUGCACCUACCAAGUUCUGACACCCAAAAUGUCUUCAGACAUCGCCAAAUGUCCCCUGGGGGACAAAAAUCAACCCUGGUUGAGAACCACUGGGUUGGAAUACAAGCCUGAAAAACCGCUCCCAGUCUGCCGGAAGGUCAAGACCACAGUGACCUCUGGACUCCAGCCCCUGGCUAAGAAUGCAAUCUACCUGUCCACGGGCCAGUGUGAUGCAAGAUGUCAAGGGAUGGUGAUCACUGAGAGACCAAAGAUUUCCUCUGAAUUUGCCUGGAUUUUCACACUUGAUUGUUCACUGUCAAAAGGAAGAACAGGUGUACCUACAGCAACCUGGCUGCAGAAAUCUACAUUCUCCUUAUUCUGAGAAACCCCCCAAAAUACUACCACCAAAGUAGAAACCAAAUUUAUCCUGAAUUGACAUGUACCCCCUAACCCCAGCCCAACUCCAUACUCCUCUCUGUCAAGGAAGCAAAAUCAAUUUCCUUUGCUUUAGAUACCAGCAUGUAGGCUUGUGGACUUCCAAAUGCUGUCUUCCAAGAACUUGGAGUUUAAACACGAUCCCUUGGGUGAUAUGUCCAAAGAAGUUCUCACUGAAAUUCCCCGCAUCGUAAAAUGUCAGGAUGUCUGCGGUCUUUAUUUAUAGACAGAUUGCUUUUCAACUUUUCUCACUCCAACAUUUCAAUGUGUUAUUCCUGAAGAUAAAUGCAC